UUCAUUACAGGUCCAGAAAUUAACCACUAGUGGCAGCACUUCAAGGCAAACAGUUUCAGAUCUGUUCCAUUUAUGCCUUGCUGCUCGUGUUGCAGGAGACCAAACUCAAAAGUUAGCCAGAGAUGACAGAAUCAAUCUAACUGCAAAGAAGAUUGGUUUCCACCUCAUGCAGUUUUCUCUACUUCCAGCUAAAGUUGUUUGAUCCACUGUAAGGUGAAGUAUCCAGCAGGUCUCAUUGCUUGAUCAGUCCAGCAGUUCUGGAUCAUGCUCAGAAUUCAAAGGUUAUAAGGGAUUAGCUUUGCUGGAUACCUGGAG